UACGGAGGAUGCAAGCGUUAUCCGGAAUGAUUGGGCGUAAAGCGUCCGCAGGUGGCUAUGUAAGUCUGCUGUUAAAGAGUGAGGCUCAACCUCAUAAGAGCAGUGGAAACUACAUGGCUAGAGUGCGUUCGGGGCAGAGGGAAUUCCUGGUGUAGCGGUGAAAUGCGUAGGGAUCAGGAAGAACACCGGUGGCGAAAGCGCUCUGCUAGGCCGCAACUGACACUCAUGGACGAAAGCUAGGGGAGCGAAUGGG
rnacentral:rRNA from 1 species